AGACCUCUCCAAUUGCUAACGUAUCCCACACAUGCAAAUUACCCUUUGAUCCACCAACAGCAAGCAAAAAUGGAGCAUCCUUGCAAAAACUUGCCGCAAAGACAGCACCAACCUUCGGGUUGGUGGACGCAAUGCAAGCUGGUUGAUUGUCUGUCAAGUCCCACAACUUCACCAUCUUAUCAGUGGAUACCGUAGCCAGAAGGUUGGGUGCAGCAGUGUUGUAUGCCAAACAGCAAGCAGCCUUGUCAUGUGCAUGAAUGGUGAACAAAGCUUUCCCUUGCUGAGGAUCUGUUGUCCCUGUGCGCACAUCAUAUCCUCCAACAGUUCCAUCUUCUAAACUCACUAUAAAUGUGUGUGGCGUGUGCGGAUCCCAGGCUAGAUAUUCUACAUCGGCAGAGACAGACCAGCGGAUGGCGGCCGCUUGAGGAGCUCUCAUAUCUGUCAGGGCCACUGUCCGAUCAAAGGACCCACUAAGAAGGACUGUAGGCUCCUUCAAGUUCCAUGCUACGGCUUGAACUUUAUCU
rnacentral:lncRNA from 1 species